AACAUUGCAACAUUUGGUGCUGACCAAUUUGAUGAAGAUCACUCAAAGGAGAGUUAUUCAAAAGUGGCAUUUUUUAGCUACUUUUACUUGGCAUUGAACCUUGGUUCACUUUUCUCAAACACUAUUUUGGGCUAUUUUGAAGAUGAAGGAUUAUGGGCUCUUGGGUUUUGGGCUUCUGCUGGGUCUGCCUUUUUGGCUCUUGUACUUUUUCUUGUUGGCACCCCAAAAUAUAGACACUUUAAACCUUGUGGCAAUCCUCUUUCUAGAUUCUGCCAAGUGUUUUUCGCUGCUUCAAGGAAAUUGGGAGUUCAAAUGACUUCAAAUGGAGAUGACUUGUAUGUCAU
rnacentral:lncRNA from 1 species